CCUACGGGUGGCAGCAGUGGGGAAUAUUGGGCAAUGGGCGCAAGCCUGACCCAGCAACGCCGCGUGAAGGACGAAGGCUCUCAGGUUUUUAACUUCCUUUUUUCUGGACGUAGCAUGUGACGGUACUUCAUGAAUAAGCCACGGCUAACUACGUGCCUGGAGUCGCGGUAAGACGGAGGGGGCAAUCGUUCUGCGGAUUUGAUGGGUGUAAAGGUCUUGUUAGCGGGACUGCAAGUCAGAUGUGAAAACAACGGGCUCAACCUGUGGCGUGCAUUUGACACUGGAGUUCUUUAGUACUGGAGAGGCAGACGGAAUGCCUAGUGUAGCGGUGAAAUGCGUAGAUAUUAGGAGGAACACCAGUGGCGAAGGCGGUAUGCUGGACAGCAACUGACGCUGAGGCGCGAAAGCGUGGGGAGCAAACAGGAUUAGAUACCCGAGUAGUC
rnacentral:rRNA from 1 species